rnacentral:rRNA from 1 species
GUCUACAGCCAUGCUACCCUGAACAAUCUGAUCCUGUCUGAUCUCGGAUGCUAAGCAGGGUUGGGCCUGGUUAAUACUUGGGUGGGAGACCACUUAGGAAGACCAAGUGCUGUAGGUG